GCGCGGUCUUUUGUACAACACUUCUCCCUGCUGCAAUGACUGAAGCCAACCCUUCUAUUUCUUGCAAUUACCCAGGUUUGGCAAAUGUAGUACAAUCAAAGUCUUGAGCUCUAUACGGUCUACCCAUGCUACCCGGGAUUUUAGCUAUAGCAGACCUACCCAGGUUGCUAAAUCAGUUCAGUGCUAUUAUUAUGGAGAUCCGCAUAGUGGAACAAACCUGCAAAGUGGGAAGAUUCUCCCCUCACUCUGCCUGUGGCACUUUGCGAAACGCUGUGCAAUAAUCAAAGGAUGUGUGGCCCAAUGGAUAAGGCGCCUGCCUACGGAGCAGGAGAUUCCAGGUUCGAUCCCUGGCACGUUCAGUAAAUGGAUGCAAGGAAGCUCUGUUUUCAGACGUCGUAGCUGCAGUCACGUCUCUUGCCAUCGGUGUCUUUUCUUUGAAUCCAUUGAUUGAUCAAUUGAUAAUGGCAACACAGCAACGUAUCUCAAGGUGGCAGAAUCGCAAAGUUGGAAUUGUUGCAAAGAGGCAAUGCGUUGAGGUUACACUCAAAGGUAUCCCCGGGAUCUCUUAAGCGAUGACUAAGCGCGGUCUUUUGUACAACACUUCUCCCUGCUGCAAUGACUGAAGCCAACCCUUCUAUUUCUUGCAAUUACCCAGGUUUGGCAAAUGUAGUACAAUCAAAGUCUUGAGCUCUAUACGGUCUACCCAUGCUACCCGGGAUUUUAGCUAUAGCAGACCUACCCAGGUUGCUAAAUCAGUUCAGUGCUAUUAUUAUGGAGAUCCGCAUAGUGGAACAAACCUGCAAAGUGGGAAGAUUCUCCCCUCACUCUGCCUGUGGCACUUUGCGAAACGCUGUGCAAUAAUCAAAGGAUGUGUGGCCCAAUGGAUAAGGCGCCUGCCUACGGAGCAGGAGAUUCCAGGUUCGAUCCCUGGCACGUUCAGUAAAUGGAUGCAAGGAAGCUCUGUUUUCAGACGUCGUAGCUGCAGUCACGUCUCUUGCCAUCGGUGUCUUUUCUUUGAAUCCAUUGAUUGAUCAAUUGAUAAUGGCAACACAGCAACGUAUCUCAAGGUGGCAGAAUCGCAAAGUUGGAAUUGUUGCAAAGAGGCAAUGCGUUGAGGUUACACUCAAAGGUAUCCCCGGGAUCUCUUAAGCGAUGACUAAGCGCGGUCUUUUGUACAACACUUCUCCCUGCUGCAAUGACUGAAGCCAACCCUUCUAUUUCUUGCAAUUACCCAGGUUUGGCAAAUGUAGUACAAUCAAAGUCUUGAGCUCUAUACGGUCUACCCAUGCUACCCGGGAUUUUAGCUAUAGCAGACCUACCCAGGUUGCUAAAUCAGUUCAGUGCUAUUAUUAUGGAGAUCCGCAUAGUGGAACAAACCUGCAAAGUGGGAAGAUUCUCCCCUCACUCUGCCUGUGGCACUUUGCGAAACGCUGUGCAAUAAUCAAAGGAUGUGUGGCCCAAUGGAUAAGGCGCCUGCCUACGGAGCAGGAGAUUCCAGGUUCGAUCCCUGGCACGUUCAGUAAAUGGAUGCAAGGAAGCUCUGUUUUCAGACGUCGUAGCUGCAGUCACGUCUCUUGCCAUCGGUGUCUUUUCUUUGAAUCCAUUGAUUGAUCAAUUGAUAAUGGCAACACAGCAACGUAUCUCAAGGUGGCAGAAUCGCAAAGUUGGAAUUGUUGCAAAGAGGCAAUGCGUUGAGGUUACACUCAAAGGUUUGGCAAAUGUAGUACAAUCAAAGUCUUGAGCUCUAUACGGUCUACCCAUGCUACCCGGGAUUUUAGCUAUAGCAGACCUACCCAGGUUGCUAAAUCAGUUCAGUGCUAUUAUUAUGGAGAUCCGCAUAGUGGAACAAACCUGCAAAGUGGGAAGAUUCUCCCCUCACUCUGCCUGUGGCACUUUGCGAAACGCUGUGCAAUAAUCAAAGGAUGUGUGGCCCAAUGGAUAAGGCGCCUGCCUACGGAGCAGGAGAUUCCAGGUUCGAUCCCUGGCACGUUCAGUAAAUGGAUGCAAGGAAGCUCUGUUUUCAGACGUCGUAGCUGCAGUCACGUCUCUUGCCAUCGGUGUCUUUUCUUUGAAUCCAUUGAUUGAUCAAUUGAUAAUGGCAACACAGCAACGUAUCUCAAGGUGGCAGAAUCGCAAAGUUGGAAUUGUUGCAAAGAGGCAAUGCGUUGAGGUUACACUCAAAGGUAUCCCCGGGAUCUCUUAAGCGAUGACUAAGCGCGGUCUUUUGUACAACACUUCUCCCUGCUGCAAUGACUGAAGCCAACCCUUCUAUUUCUUGCAAUUACCCAGGUUUGGCAAAUGUAGUACAAUCAAAGUCUUGAGCUCUAUACGGUCUACCCAUGCUACCCGGGAUUUUAGCUAUAGCAGACCUACCCAGGUUGCUAAAUCAGUUCAGUGCUAUUAUUAUGGAGAUCCGCAUAGUGGAACAAACCUGCAAAGUGGGAAGAUUCUCCCCUCACUCUGCCUGUGGCACUUUGCGAAACGCUGUGCAAUAAUCAAAGGAUGUGUGGCCCAAUGGAUAAGGCGCCUGCCUACGGAGCAGGAGAUUCCAGGUUCGAUCCCUGGCACGUUCAGUAAAUGGAUGCAAGGAAGCUCUGUUUUCAGACGUCGUAGCUGCAGUCACGUCUCUUGCCAUCGGUGUCUUUUCUUUGAAUCCAUUGAUUGAUCAAUUGAUAAUGGCAACACAGCAACGUAUCUCAAGGUGGCAGAAUCGCAAAGUUGGAAUUGUUGCAAAGAGGCAAUGCGUUGAGGUUACACUCAAAGGUAUCCCCGGGAUCUCUUAAGCGAUGACUAAGCGCGGUCUUUUGUACAACACUUCUCCCUGCUGCAAUGACUGAAGCCAACCCUUCUAUUUCUUGCAAUUACCCAGGUUUGGCAAAUGUAGUACAAUCAAAGUCUUGAGCUCUAUACGGUCUACCCAUGCUACCCGGGAUUUUAGCUAUAGCAGACCUACCCAGGUUGCUAAAUCAGUUCAGUGCUAUUAUUAUGGAGAUCCGCAUAGUGGAACAAACCUGCAAAGUGGGAAGAUUCUCCCCUCACUCUGCCUGUGGCACUUUGCGAAACGCUGUGCAAUAAUCAAAGGAUGUGUGGCCCAAUGGAUAAGGCGCCUGCCUACGGAGCAGGAGAUUCCAGGUUCGAUCCCUGGCACGUUCAGUAAAUGGAUGCAAGGAAGCUCUGUUUUCAGACGUCGUAGCUGCAGUCACGUCUCUUGCCAUCGGUGUCUUUUCUUUGAAUCCAUUGAUUGAUCAAUUGAUAAUGGCAACACAGCAACGUAUCUCAAGGUGGCAGAAUCGCAAAGUUGGAAUUGUUGCAAAGAGGCAAUGCGUUGAGGUUACACUCAAAGGUAUCCCCGGGAUCUCUUAAGCGAUGACUAAGCGCGGUCUUUUGUACAACACUUCUCCCUGCUGCAAUGACUGAAGCCAACCCUUCUAUUUCUUGCAAUUACCCAGGUUUGGCAAAUGUAGUACAAUCAAAGUCUUGAGCUCUAUACGGUCUACCCAUGCUACCCGGGAUUUUAGCUAUAGCAGACCUACCCAGGUUGCUAAAUCAGUUCAGUGCUAUUAUUAUGGAGAUCCGCAUAGUGGAACAAACCUGCAAAGUGGGAAGAUUCUCCCCUCACUCUGCCUGUGGCACUUUGCGAAACGCUGUGCAAUAAUCAAAGGAUGUGUGGCCCAAUGGAUAAGGCGCCUGCCUACGGAGCAGGAGAUUCCAGGUUCGAUCCCUGGCACGUUCAGUAAAUGGAUGCAAGGAAGCUCUGUUUUCAGACGUCGUAGCUGCAGUCACGUCUCUUGCCAUCGGUGUCUUUUCUUUGAAUCCAUUGAUUGAUCAAUUGAUAAUGGCAACACAGCAACGUAUCUCAAGGUGGCAGAAUCGCAAAGUUGGAAUUGUUGCAAAGAGGCAAUGCGUUGAGGUUACACUCAAAGGUAUCCCCGGGAUCUCUUAAGCGAUGACUAAGCGCGGUCUUUUGUACAACACUUCUCCCUGCUGCAAUGACUGAAGCCAACCCUUCUAUUUCUUGCAAUUACCCAGGUUUGGCAAAUGUAGUACAAUCAAAGUCUUGAGCUCUAUACGGUCUACCCAUGCUACCCGGGAUUUUAGCUAUAGCAGACCUACCCAGGUUGCUAAAUCAGUUCAGUGCUAUUAUUAUGGAGAUCCGCAUAGUGGAACAAACCUGCAAAGUGGGAAGAUUCUCCCCUCACUCUGCCUGUGGCACUUUGCGAAACGCUGUGCAAUAAUCAAAGGAUGUGUGGCCCAAUGGAUAAGGCGCCUGCCUACGGAGCAGGAGAUUCCAGGUUCGAUCCCUGGCACGUUCAGUAAAUGGAUGCAAGGAAGCUCUGUUUUCAGACGUCGUAGCUGCAGUCACGUCUCUUGCCAUCGGUGUCUUUUCUUUGAAUCCAUUGAUUGAUCAAUUGAUAAUGGCAACACAGCAACGUAUCUCAAGGUGGCAGAAUCGCAAAGUUGGAAUUGUUGCAAAGAGGCAAUGCGUUGAGGUUACACUCAAAGGUAUCCCCGGGAUCUCUUAAGCGAUGACUAAGCGCGGUCUUUUGUACAACACUUCUCCCUGCUGCAAUGACUGAAGCCAACCCUUCUAUUUCUUGCAAUUACCCAGGUUUGGCAAAUGUAGUACAAUCAAAGUCUUGAGCUCUAUACGGUCUACCCAUGCUACCCGGGAUUUUAGCUAUAGCAGACCUACCCAGGUUGCUAAAUCAGUUCAGUGCUAUUAUUAUGGAGAUCCGCAUAGUGGAACAAACCUGCAAAGUGGGAAGAUUCUCCCCUCACUCUGCCUGUGGCACUUUGCGAAACGCUGUGCAAUAAUCAAAGGAUGUGUGGCCCAAUGGAUAAGGCGCCUGCCUACGGAGCAGGAGAUUCCAGGUUCGAUCCCUGGCACGUUCAGUAAAUGGAUGCAAGGAAGCUCUGUUUUCAGACGUCGUAGCUGCAGUCACGUCUCUUGCCAUCGGUGUCUUUUCUUUGAAUCCAUUGAUUGAUCAAUUGAUAAUGGCAACACAGCAACGUAUCUCAAGGUGGCAGAAUCGCAAAGUUGGAAUUGUUGCAAAGAGGCAAUGCGUUGAGGUUACACUCAAAGGUAUCCCCGGGAUCUCUUAAGCGAUGACUAAGCGCGGUCUUUUGUACAACACUUCUCCCUGCUGCAAUGACUGAAGCCAACCCUUCUAUUUCUUGCAAUUACCCAGGUUUGGCAAAUGUAGUACAAUCAAAGUCUUGAGCUCUAUACGGUCUACCCAUGCUACCCGGGAUUUUAGCUAUAGCAGACCUACCCAGGUUGCUAAAUCAGUUCAGUGCUAUUAUUAUGGAGAUCCGCAUAGUGGAACAAACCUGCAAAGUGGGAAGAUUCUCCCCUCACUCUGCCUGUGGCACUUUGCGAAACGCUGUGCAAUAAUCAAAGGAUGUGUGGCCCAAUGGAUAAGGCGCCUGCCUACGGAGCAGGAGAUUCCAGGUUCGAUCCCUGGCACGUUCAGUAAAUGGAUGCAAGGAAGCUCUGUUUUCAGACGUCGUAGCUGCAGUCACGUCUCUUGCCAUCGGUGUCUUUUCUUUGAAUCCAUUGAUUGAUCAAUUGAUAAUGGCAACACAGCAACGUAUCUCAAGGUGGCAGAAUCGCAAAGUUGGAAUUGUUGCAAAGAGGCAAUGCGUUGAGGUUACACUCAAAGGUAUCCCCGGGAUCUCUUAAGCGAUGACUAAGCGCGGUCUUUUGUACAACACUUCUCCCUGCUGCAAUGACUGAAGCCAACCCUUCUAUUUCUUGCAAUUACCCAGGUUUGGCAAAUGUAGUACAAUCAAAGUCUUGAGCUCUAUACGGUCUACCCAUGCUACCCGGGAUUUUAGCUAUAGCAGACCUACCCAGGUUGCUAAAUCAGUUCAGUGCUAUUAUUAUGGAGAUCCGCAUAGUGGAACAAACCUGCAAAGUGGGAAGAUUCUCCCCUCACUCUGCCUGUGGCACUUUGCGAAACGCUGUGCAAUAAUCAAAGGAUGUGUGGCCCAAUGGAUAAGGCGCCUGCCUACGGAGCAGGAGAUUCCAGGUUCGAUCCCUGGCACGUUCAGUAAAUGGAUGCAAGGAAGCUCUGUUUUCAGACGUCGUAGCUGCAGUCACGUCUCUUGCCAUCGGUGUCUUUUCUUUGAAUCCAUUGAUUGAUCAAUUGAUAAUGGCAACACAGCAACGUAUCUCAAGGUGGCAGAAUCGCAAAGUUGGAAUUGUUGCAAAGAGGCAAUGCGUUGAGGUUACACUCAAAGGUAUCCCCGGGAUCUCUUAAGCGAUGACUAAGCGCGGUCUUUUGUACAACACUUCUCCCUGCUGCAAUGACUGAAGCCAACCCUUCUAUUUCUUGCAAUUACCCAGGUUUGGCAAAUGUAGUACAAUCAAAGUCUUGAGCUCUAUACGGUCUACCCAUGCUACCCGGGAUUUUAGCUAUAGCAGACCUACCCAGGUUGCUAAAUCAGUUCAGUGCUAUUAUUAUGGAGAUCCGCAUAGUGGAACAAACCUGCAAAGUGGGAAGAUUCUCCCCUCACUCUGCCUGUGGCACUUUGCGAAACGCUGUGCAAUAAUCAAAGGAUGUGUGGCCCAAUGGAUAAGGCGCCUGCCUACGGAGCAGGAGAUUCCAGGUUCGAUCCCUGGCACGUUCAGUAAAUGGAUGCAAGGAAGCUCUGUUUUCAGACGUCGUAGCUGCAGUCACGUCUCUUGCCAUCGGU
rnacentral:tRNA from 1 species